AUUUUCAUGGUGAUUUUUGACAGCUUCUGAGUCUCCAGGCGUCACAACGAAACCACAGCGAUGUUCAACAAGAGAAACACCAAACAAAACCUCAGCCUGCAAACUCAGAACUCCACACAGCAGUGACGGAAGCCAAAGACCUGCGGGCGCAGAACAGCGUUCUGACCAGAAGGGGGCAGCAUCAACAAGAGGAGAUCAACCGACUCAAUAAAGCUCUGGAGGAGCGACUCCAUCCUGUUCAGACCCUCGAGGAAAGCCGCGGACCUCCAGAGGACCUCUGGAAACAUCAGGUUAGCUUUCGUCAACGGA